GAUGAACGCUAGCGGCAGGCUUAAUACAUGCAAGUCGAACGGGAAUUGGGUAGCAAUACCUGAUGAUAGUGGCGCACGGGUGCGUAACGCGUAUGCAACCUACCUUUAACAGGGGGAUAGCCCGGAGAAAUUCGGAUUAAUACCCCAUAGUAUUAUGGAGAGGCAUCUUUUCAUGAUUAAAGUUCCGGCGGUUAAAGAUGGGCAUGCGUGCCAUUAGCUAGUUGGUGAGGUAACGGCUCACCAAGGCGACGAUGGUUAGGGGUCCUGAGAGGGUUAUCCCCCACACUGGUACUGAGACACGGACCAGACUCCUACGGGAGGCAGCAGUAAGGAAUAUUGGUCAAUGGGCGGAAGCCUGAACCAGCCAUGCCGCGUGCAGGAAGACGACCUUAUGGGUUGUAAACUGCUUUUGUCAGGGAAUAAACCCUCGUUUGCGAACGAGGCUGAAGGUACCUGAAGAAUAAGCAUCGGCUAACUCCGUG
rnacentral:rRNA from 1 species